UGCAGGGAAUGAUCUAUACACUAAAACUGCUUUAUUUAGCUAAAGUAAUUUAGGUGACUGUAGUGUUCCUUUAAGCUUGUAGUGGAAUGAGAUAGUUGUUACUAGAAAACAGCGAAUAUAUGGUUUCACAGUUGGUUUAGCUUAUAGGACAUCUGUAUAUGUAUCUAAUUGAGUUUAGAUUCAUAAUUUCUUAUAUUUACAUUCAUCUUUAUUUUUGUUAUAAAAAGUUUGUUUUAAAAGUUUAUUUUAUUGGGACGUUAGAGGGAUUUUAACCAAAGGAUAACAAUAUAACAUGCGUCAGUAGUUAAACUAACAGAUCCUGGAAAAGGCAAUGCAAAAGUUAAGUAUGGGCUUUACCAAUGCAAUGUACAAAUUAUAGUUAGGUGAUUUUGUUUUUCCCAUGUUACAAAAAUAAGCAUCAGAAGUGAGCAUCUUUCACGGAUUUCUCAUGCAAAUGAUGCAGAUCACUCAGAAAAGCAUGGACUCAGAAAUAGUGAUGUCCCGAACGGUUUGCCGAACGGUUUGCGAACGGUUCGCCACGAACGGUUUGCCACGGACUCAUCAUUGAGUAAAC